UGGUGUUCCUGGUGUUCCUGGGAUAGGUGCAGCAUCCACUACAACCCUGAUCAUCGAUAAAGUGAAUCUCGAAAGUGAGUGACUGAGGCACCCAGCUCAGAUUUUUCUCAUCCUCCUUCUGACUGUCAUUGAUGUGAGAAACGUGGACAAUGCUGAUCCAAAGUGACAUGUGUCUUCCAUCCCGGGACGGCGUCCAUGGCUGCAGCCCAGCCUCCGUUCCUCUGUACUGGGCUGUUUUUGUUCACAGCAACUCAUGCGGAUAAUUUGCUGGGAUGGAGUGGAGGGCUGUCACAAGGACUCGGCUCAAGGGGUGUGGGAAAACUAGCAGAAGCAUCUUCUAUGUUCAAAUGUAUCCUGUAAUGACAAUGGAAAAGUGUGAACUUCUGUCUGUUGUUCAGUCUGUUGUUGUUGUUUUUAAUGUUUUUUCUUUAUUGUUCUGUUUUUAUUGUUUAUGUCAUUUCUUCUCCUCUCCUGACUUUUUCUUGCGUAUUGGUAGAAUAAUGCAUCUGACAAGGUUCCUUUAGAUCAUAGUCUGUUUGGAUAUGUCGUGUGUGUAUGUGUGUUUACUUUAAAGCCGGAAAAUAUUAAUACACUCUAUGACAGUAAACCCAUGUGACUCUAUUACAGCAGUAGAAAUGCAGCUUUGGUGUCGAUCACUACGCACACUGCUUUUGAUAUCAUGUAUAAUUCAUACUUCCUCAGCCUACAUACACAUUAUUCCACAUAUCCUGACCUACAGUAGAGAAUGAAGUUUUCCAUAUUGGAAAUGCUGACCAGUUCUUAAGAACAUGAUAGGUGGUGAAAUCUUCCCUUAAUGUUAUCCAUCCGUUGCACUGCUACUAGGUUUUCAUCUGAUGGCUUAACUUAGAGAACAGUUACUCGUUCUUUCUGUGAUUUUCUUUUUCAGCGAGCACUCACACUUCGGGUCUGUGAGUCACACAGGAGCCAUAGCCAGCUCUUCCAUCUUCCAGCUCUCAGCUCUAUUGCAGCAUCUCUGUGAUUUUUAACAAGUCCCUAAGCCACGCACUCCAAGCUGCACAAAUCCCAGAGGAGCAGCAGGUGGAGGAACAUCCUUACUGCAACUUUCUCUGAGGUUUGUGACAGGUUUGUGCCCAUGCUAGUGGAUCACAGGGGGGCACCGGUGUUCCACUAUUCCACAACAAUGCCUAAAAACAUGCUGUGGAUGGCCUGUGUAGCACCUUGCCAAGCAGGGUCACUGACACAAGCAAGCCAAUCAUAGGCUUUUAACAUGGAGAGAGGGACAGAGAAGCUUGCUAGAAAGAAAAUGGGAUAAAGCACUCUCCCAAAAAUAGGCCUCCCCGGGCCAUUGUAGCAAAGGACGGAGUGACAUUGUGGACGACGCUAACAUCUGUGUAUAACCUCACAUUUACAAACGCCCCCUUUGCCUAAGUUUGAGCCAGACUCCGCCACCAGCCUCCAAGGAACAGCCAUUUUGGAACGCUUUCCCCGACACAGAUGUUGCAUAUUAAAAAGUGGGGCUGUUUAAGAGAGGAAGAGCAGGCAGGAAAGGGAGGACUGUUCUCCGUGGGUUUCACCUGUGCCGUCAUCCGAGAAGCCAAUCCAUGAGAGGAAGCUGACUAACCAACCAAAGGCAAAGUGACAACAAUGAUAAAGUCAUCUCAUUUCCUGUCUGACCCUGAGCAGGUAGAGAUGCGGACAAAUGACUCCACUCUUGAGAUUCUCUUGUUUACCUCUGAUCUUCCUUCUUCUUUUUUCAACUUUUUGUUGCCGAUUAUGUCUAGACCUUUAAAAAUAUACAGAUUGCUUCAUGCCUUCAUUAUCAGCAAUCUUUUAUUUCAUCACUCUUAUAAAUGUAAAGUUAUUCUUUAGCUGCUCCCACUACUUUGUUAUAAGAAAACUCUUCUGAACUUUCUUUCUUUUAUUUCUUAUUUCUCUAAUAUUUUUUUUCUCUUAUUUCUCUCUUAUUUUCCACAUUUUGACAAGUAAAAAACAAUUGAUUUUUUUUAAUCUCAGAUGACACCAAUUAAAAGCUUUGUCUAUUGUGAGGCACGGAGUUGCGUCCACAAGAUGGAGAUAUUCACCAGAAUGAAUUUUCUUUUCUAUUGGCCGUACUGGC